GACGGAGGAUGCAAGUGUUAUCCGGAAUCACUGGGCGUAAAGCGUCUGUAGGUGGUUUAAUAAGUCGAAUGUUAAAUCUUGAAGCUUAACUUCAAACGUGCAUUCGAAACUAUUAGACUUGAGUAUAGUAGAGGUAAAGGGAAUUUCCAGUGGAGCGGUGAAAUGCGUAGAUAUUGGAAAGAACACCAAUUGCGAAGGCACUUUACUGGGCUAUUACUGACACUCAGAGACGAAAGCUAGGGUAGCAAAUGGG
rnacentral:rRNA from 1 species